CACGGGAAAAAAUUCGUUGCCGGAUCCAUGACUAAAAUGUUAUGAAAUCAUAAAACUUGUCGCUUCAUGAUAUUGUAACUACAAGUCAUGAUAUCAUGACGUUAACAACGAUUAUCAUGAAUAAUAAUAACUGAUUCCAUCAACAAAAGCCAUGGCCGUCAAAAGCGUUAUGAAAAAAUUAAGCUCGUUUUCAUAAAUUGAAUACCAUAAAGCAUAGUCAUGGUAGCAUGGCUGUGAGUCAUAAAACUAUGACGCUGAGUCAUCUCAACCAGACGCUGAGUCGUAUAAACAUAACGCAGAGUCAUAAAAUCAUGAAUCACAACAAACGAAUUUGGGCACUGUAAGCGUUACGCAAACCCUCGUGCAGAAUCACCUACGCCAUUUUUGUCACUUCUGUCAAGACGCCUUUUGUGAGCGGCAGUGUUUUCCGGUGAGAUUUUUUUUGGUUUUCGAAAAAGUGUAGUGAAUUGUUCUUACUUAAAUAGUAGUAAACUAUAUAAUUAUUGAACUACAUUCCAGAAGUUGAAAGUGAAAAAACUCUAUAUUCCGGCACAAAACUCCGGCCAUCUUCAUCAGCAGCAGAACAAUCAAGCUCACACGGCGGGCGACAUGGAACAUAAAAUCAGCACGCGCUUGGAUUUCCUUAAGGAAAAAUUCGAGAACCUUAAUUUGCAGCCGCAAAUUGUUUCGGUUGGGGCAUCGCGGGGAGAAGGAGCGGUGCUCGUUAUUUUCGGGGGAGCGGAGUACAAGGCAGACCACAUCCUCCAUGCCAUUUGCAUUUGCAUGCAAGUGAUAUAUGUUUUGAAUCUCCAGUAUGCACCAGACUGCAAGCCCCUCUGGAUGUUCUUGCAGGCUCAUCUGUUCAAAAUCCCAGCGGUA